GGAUGCUGGGUGAAUACCAGCAAAAGUUAGAGAAAUAAGUAAAAUAUUUACAAACAAAUUUACCAUCUUCCAUUCACUGUAUAAUUUUCUUGGGGGGUAGGUCUCAUUGAAUAUUAUAAUGGUAUUGCCAUUAUUGCCUUUUGUGUUACAGGGAAACCCUGCCAACUUCAGUCUUCACCAACAUCAUUUUGGGGCCCCGUAACUGGAAGAGUUUACAAGGAGCCUGCACACUACAUAGAUACAAUGCAGUACAGACUAGGAGGAGGCAAAUUUCGCAGUCAGGUUCAGCCUUAGGACAAGCAGCAAGGAUCAGAGUUUAUAAACAGGAUAAAUGCAGUGUUAAAUUCAUAGUCCUGCUCCUUGUUGCAGGAUGCAAAGAGUCGACUCAUGCAGCUUGCCAAGUGUUGGGACUGUUCAGUUCUGAAAGAAUCUAAGUGCAGUUGAAAAACAAAGAAUGAAAGAAUCUGAGAGCACCAUAAGGUCAACUACACAUCAUCAGUUGGAAUGCGCCAUUCAGCAUCAUGUGUUUUAUCUUGACAAGAAAGACGCAAGCUGAAUUAUGCUCAUGAGAAAAGAUCUGUUGUCUUGAACGUUCUCAAAAGACAACUCAGUUAAACCGAUUUUAGCUCUUGGUAAGGGUAUCGUAUGAUAGAAUCAAAGGUUUGUACAUUUGCAGCUGUAUUUGGAUCAUUUGGCUUAAGACCAUAGAAUUUAUGAGGAGGAAUUCUGCCCUCGAUAUAAAUAUUGAACAGUAAAAAUCAAAAUGUGUUUGACAGGACAGAAUGUUUAUUCUUUCCAGAAUAGUGCCUAUGCCACAAACAUGUAAAGUGUUGUCAAGAUGCUAGUAACAUGUUUCUUUAUAAAGUGCAUAAAUAUG